rnacentral:rRNA from 1 species
GGGCUCACACAAGCGGUGGAGGAUGUGGCUUAAUUCGAGGCAACGCGAAGAACCUUAUCCUGGACUUGACAUGUUUGGAUGGCUCGCCUGAAAGGGAUGAGUCUGCCUUCGGGUGAAACUUACACAGGUGCUGCAUGGCUGUCGUCAGCUCGUGUCGUGAGACGUCGCGUUAAGUCGCUUAACGAGCGCAACCCUUGUCCUUAGUUGCCAGCACGUAAUGGUGGGGACUCUAAGGAGACUGCCGGUGUUAAACCGGAGGAAGGCGGGGACGACGUCAAGUCAUCAUGGCUUUAUGUCCAGGGCUGCACACGUCCUACAAUGCAACAUACAGAGGGCAGCGAACCUGCAAAGGUAAGCAAA